ensembl:lncRNA
CUGAACCUGAGCUAGGCAGAGAGGAGAGGUGACUUGGAGGACUUCUGCUGGGUAGACCUGGUAAUGCAAGAGGAGAUGAAAUAAACACAAAGCAUCACUGGUGUAUCCUUUUUUUAAAAUAAUAAUAAUAAUAAUAAUUAUUAUUAUUAUUAUUAUUAUUAUUAUUAUUAUUAUUAUUCACUGCGUUUUACAUCUGCACAAAAAAGCUGAGCUUUCUGUGAUGUAAUAAAUAGUUUCCCCAACUUCUGUAUGACCUUUCUUUCAAUUCCGUUUUUGUGAUGACAGAAAAAUAGUGCUAAUAUUCUGUCUCUCUGGACCCUGUACGAACUAUUUAAUUGUGGUAAAUGGGUGGGAUAACUGAUUGAUUUUUUUUUUUUUUUUUUUUUUUUUUGCUACUUAAAGACAAAGCCACCUAGACUAAGAUGAGUCUAUUUUACUAUUUUUAAUAAUUUAGGUUCCACGGGUAAGAGCAGUGUGAACAGGGACAUGGAUAUUUAAUAAAGUAUCAUUUUAAUUCACCCUCACUAUAAUCAGAUAAUACAUAGGUAUCUCUGAAUAAGACAUAAAAAAUGUGCGUGCUUUCACCAGCGCUUGGAGGCAACGAACAAAAACAAAAGAUCCAGGAAACCUUGGUGUCGCAGCAGUAGGCUAUUAUUACUGCGACAAUGAGACGCCUAGGCUACGUGGGGCUGUGUGAGGACACAGUGUGUGAUGUAAGAUGCUUGUACAUAUUUUUGUUGACACAUUUCAUCGUUGACAUUAGUUAACUGCUAAUUAAUUAUUUUGUGCGCGUCUUUUAAAAGGCCGCGGUGUUGGCUAGAGUUUUAUGCGUUUUUUAAAUAAGCGUUUUGUUUUUUGUUUUUUUAAAAUGAAGCGUCAUCAGUUUCCGGGGAAAGUCCGCCAGCAUUUCGCUUUCAAUUCAGAUGCGACGGCACGAUUUAAAUGUAAACCAGUGUAAUUGUUUUACAUUUUAUUACAAAACGUAAAAAUAAUUAAUAUCGACUGGACUGUUUGUAUAUAAGAAGCUGGAUUCGGGAAGCUGCAAGAACAAAACUGACCACAGCGAUGAACGCAAAUCGGAGUUACUGGUAAGUCUUGCGUAGGAAUUGUGCCUGAAGGGCCGAGCAAAGUAAAAGUGAAACCGAACACACAAGCUAACUGCUUCAUUCUUUGCUCAAAUCCACUCGAGCUUUAAUUCAUAUAUGGAUGGAUUUUUUUUUCAUCUUUUAUGCGGAAUAUAUUGAUGGAGGCACAUGUUGAGGUGACAGAAGAACCAACACAAAGCUCAGAGAGCAAUGGUGACACAAGAUCACAGGUGAAAUUGGAUGAUGACUUGGAUGAUCUUCAGUGGAUCAAAAGUAGCCCUGGCAUGGUUCACCUCUACAUCGAAGAUCAGACAAAGGAAGGACAGAGUCUGAUGGUUGUCUAUCGACAAAGGAACUAUGCCUUCAGCAAAGAAGGAAACAGACAAAGACAUGUCUAGAAAAAUAUAUGUUCAUUUCAACAUACAGAAAAAUGAAGUCUGCAGUCUGUGCUUAUAGUUUCACAUCUUUUUUUGCGUGUAUGUGUGUGUGUGGUUUAUUUCCCAGAUGGUAUUCCAGUCUCGGGUUUGAAACCACAGAAGCUCGCACACCCUCUUUGUAUCUUCAUGGUGUAGCUUUUGACUGUUUAAAACACGAUGUGUUUAAACUUCUGCUGCUGAUGCCGUAUUGUCGCGGGACUUCGUACUCGCAAAAAGUCAUGAACUACAACAUCGUAAACCGAACAAAAGGUGUUAUGCAUGAGCAGCUGUCAUCGGGGGGUGUCAUCAACCUGACCUCUUUUGGAUUAGUUAAUGAUUAUUUGUUUAUUAUGUAGUCGAGUUGUUGCGUGACACCUCGCGUGUAGCCAUUUUUUUUUAAAUGACAGAAAAAGCUGUAUGCAAAAGACCUCGCUAACGUGUAACUCAAAGCUGCUUUGUUUCAGUGAAGCCAAUCAUGUUCUUCUACUAUGUUUUGGACAGCAUCACUACAUAAAGUUAUUUUGUGCUUUUUUUAUUAUAUUAUACUAUAUUAUAAUUUCCUAUACUUUAUCUAGUCAUUAAUGUCGGUAACUGCACUAACAGCUGCAGGUCAUUUUCACAGGUGUUUGAUUUCAAAGGACUAAGGAAACAUUGUUGUAUUUCCGAACUCCCAUUGAACUACACUUUUAUACGUUUAUCAGCACGUUGGAGGCCAUAGCAGCUGUCACAGGGUGAGAGGUGGGGUACAUUCUGGAAAAACUGUCAGAAGCUUUUAAGAUAACUGUAGAUUUUGGAAUCACCUGUAAUUGUUUCUAAUUGAUUGCACAUUAGAAGCAGGUGAGUGUUAACAUAAAUGUUCAUUUAUACAUUUUUUGUAAUAAAGUGGAAUAAAAACACAUACUGGAGUCUUGUGAGAUUCAGUUUUUCAUAUUGUGACUUGUGAGAUGCUGUUUGUGGAUAUAGCUGUCUCUGCCUCUCUGCUGAAAAGUGAAUAAUUGUGCAGGUAUUCCUUCAGUUGUUUGGAUGAAACCUCAGUGAAUCAUUUGAAAGGCGUGAUUAUUGAUGC